GAAAAAGUUUAGGUUAACGGCAAGUAUUUGCGUAAUAGCAUGAUAGUAAGUAUCAACAACUUCUUCUUCUUUCUUCUUCAACUUCUUGUGAGAGAGAGAAAAAUCUGGCCUUGCGUGUAGAAAAUAAAGAGGUGCUUCUCCAAUAUAGUAUUUAUCUUUUCUGUGUGAAAUAGAAAUAGCUUAGUUUGUUGUGAACGGAGGGAAGAAAGGUGAAGAACU
rnacentral:misc_RNA from 1 species